rnacentral:lncRNA from 1 species
CGGGAUUAAUUUCGUGUUUAAAAAAAAAAGAAAUUUUUUAAAAUUUUUUAUUACAUUUCAACCCUAAACUUUUUGAAAUUACAUUUUGACCCCUUAACUUUCUUAAAAUUACAUUUUAACCUCUAAACUUUCUCAAAAUUAUGUUUAAACCCCAAAAGUUUUGCUGCCGUUACAUAUUGGUCCCUAUGGCAGUCUCUGACGCAAGUUGCACCUGCAACUCGCGGCGGCCGACCUAGGCCCUCCCUAGCCCCCUGCUACCUGCAAAAAGAAAGAGAAAUCAGCUAUAAAAAGGGGUUUAAACCCCAAAAUCAAGGGGAGGAGAUUUCAAAAAAAAAACAAAAAAAGAGAGAAAGCUUUGCUAAAAAGAGAGAAAGAAAGGAGAAGGGAGAAAAAGGAAGAGACGGCGGCGGCACCGUGGCGUCGGCGACAGCAAGCAACGGUGGAGGCUAGACUUUGAAGAAGAAGAAGAAGGAAGAAGAAGGAAGAAGAAAGAAGAAAGAAGAAAGAAAGAAGAAAAGAGGAAGAAGAAGGAACAAAAAAAAAAGGAAAAAAAAAUUAAAUCGGGCCGACCCGACCCGAAUCCGGCC